GACGAACGCUGGCGGCGUGCUUAACACAUGCAAGUCGAACGAGGUCCAGUCUGUAGCAAUACAGAGGAAGACCUAGUGGCGAACGGGUGAGGAACACGUGAGAAACCUGUCCCGAACUCUGGGAUAACAGUUGGAAACGAUUGCUAAUACCAGAUGGCGUCGAAGAUCCUCAUGGGUCAUCGACGAAAGAAUUUCGGUUCGGGAGGGUCUCGCGGCCUAUCAGCUUGUUGGUGGGGUAAUGGCCUACCAA
rnacentral:rRNA from 1 species